rnacentral:ncRNA from 2 species
CUUCCCAAGGAGCGUUGCAGCGGGCCGGUGCAUGGCCCGUCAGGCUUGGGCUGAUCUUGUCAACGGCGCUCACCUGUC